GAUGAACGCUGGCGGCGUGCCUAAUACAUGCAAGUCGAGCGAACGGACGAGAAGCUUGCUUCUCUGAUGUUAGCGGCGGACGGGUGAGUAACACGUGGAUAACCUACCUAUAAGACUGGGAUAACUUCGGGAAACCGGAGCUAAUACCGGAUAAUAUUUUGAACCGCAUGGUUCAAAAGUGAAAGACGGUCUUGCUGUCACUUAUAGAUGGAUCCGCGCUGCAUUAGCUAGUUGGUAAGGUAACGGCUUACCAAGGCAACGAUGCAUAGCCGACCUGAGAGGGUGAUCGGCCACACUGGAACUUGGACACGGUCCAGACUCCUACGGGAGGCAGCAGUAGGGAAUCUUCCGCAAUGGGCGAAAGCCUGACGGAGCAACGCCGCGUGAGUGAUGAAGGUCUUCGGAUCGUAAAACUCUGUUAUUAGGGAAGAACAUAUGUGUAAGUAACUGUGCACAUCUUGACGGCACCUAAUCAGAAAGCCACGGCUAACUACGUG
rnacentral:rRNA from 1 species